rnacentral:rRNA from 1 species
GACGUAGGUGGCAAACGUUAUCCGGAAUUAUUGGGCGUAAAGGGUGCGUAGAUGGCCUGAUAAGUUAGCAGUGGGAAAUCGAGGCUCAACCUCGUGGAAGCUGGUAAUACUGUCAGGCUCGAGUGCAGGAGAGGUUAACGGAACUCCAUGUGGAGCGGUAAAAUGUGUAGAUAUAUGGAAGAGCACCAAUAACGGCGAAGGCAGUUAACUGUGCGGUUCCUGACGUUGAGGCACGAAAGCGUGGGGAGCAAGACGG